GACAGAGGUCCCAAGCGUUAGGCGGAAUCACUGGGCUUAAAGCGUGUGUAGGCGGAUUUGUAAGUACAUUGUGAAAUCCCACGGCUCAACCGUGGAACUGCUUGGUAUACUGCUUAUCUUGGGCCAUCUAGGGGCGAGCGGAACAAACGGUGGAGCGGUGAAAUGCGUAGAUAUCGUUUGGAACGCCAAUGGUGAAAACAGCUCGCUGGGGAUGUGCCGACGCUGAGAUACGAAAGCCAGGGGAGCGAACGGG
rnacentral:rRNA from 1 species